UUUCAUACCAGUUCCUAUAUGAUCACCAAAGUUAAGCAACAUUGAGCCUCGUCAGUACCUAGACAGGUGACCACUUGGGAAUACCAGGUGCUGUAAG